CUCUGUCUUCCCUGCUAAAAGUAGUUCAUUAUAUAGAGAAUAGGAUUACAUUAGGGACUCACUCCUGGGUGCUGAUUUUCCCUGUAGAAUCGGACACUGAUGACCUUUCUGGGAAAGGUGAUUUCCAGGGCCCAGAGGCUGAAUCCCUGAACCACAAAGGAGGAGGAGAGCAACAACAACAGCACGUGCAGGCCCAGCAGAUCAACGGCCUGGCUCCACUAUCAGUCAGGCCACCUGACACGCAGCCUGUAGUGCCUCUUGUGGCAGAAGACCAGGACUGCAGUUACCACUACACUGACACCAGCCAGACUCAGCUUCAGCAGCAUUCCUCCCCUCAGCAGCCAACACUGAGCUGUCCUACAUCAAACAGGGAAGGUGGGAUGAUGAAGGAGGGCCCUGGUUUUUGUUUAGCACACUCACUCAGAUUUCUAGUGAUUUCAUAAACAACUUAUUUGAUUUGCUCAUUUCAUUUAUCUCUUUGUGACUUAUUUUGUGAAUCUUCUUACAUGUUGGUGCUUACUGUAAUAUUGGAAACCUCAUACUUUGAUUGGACUGUGUUCUAGGGGCGGAGCAUUCUUCUGGGCUGGGCAUGACUGGGAUACAUUUUAAUUCUGGGAUGAUGGCAGGGGAUGUUCAGCAAUCUGGUCAGACGUAUGAUUAUGUAGGCAAGCCUGCAUGGCACCAGGGAGGGCACCGGUCCACCAUCACGCAGGAGGGCAAGGCCUUAGAGCCGGACCAAAUCCAACCAAAACAGAGCACCAAGUCAGGGUGGUUUAGUAGCUGGUUCAAACCCAAACCCAAAGAGGAACAAAGUGUUGCGUCUCUGGAUGACGACUCAGCAGAACCAGUUCCCACUAUGGAGGCUCCUCCCACCCUAUGUUCUUUCCCUCCCCCACCUACUAUCAACACCCUUGCAGCUAAUUGUCCCACACAGCCUACAUCUGCUGGGAUCAACCCCUUUUCUCGAAAAGCAGGUGAGUACUACAGCAGGCAGCAUUGGGCAAAACACUUCUCUUUUGGUGAAUAA
rnacentral:lncRNA from 1 species